ACGGCCACCAGGGCCAGGCCUCCCGCUGCCCCGAGGGCCUGGGGUUUGGGGACAAUGGCUGCCCAGCAAGGAGGAAAGCCACCACGUCCUGAGCACGUUGAAGUACAGUAGGUAUGAGGCCAUCUCGUCCGCUGGACCCACUGUGAAGCAGAUGCUAUCACCUCCGUUCUACAGGGGACAAGGGUUCGAUCCUUGGUCCGGGAAGAUCCCACAUGCCUCAGAGCGACUAAGCCCGUGUGCCACAACUACAGAGCCUGUGUGCCGCAACUACGGAAGCCCAUGCACCUAGAGCCCGUGCUCCGCAACAAGAGAAGCCACUGCAUUGAGAAGCCUGCAUCCCGCAACAGAGUAGCCCCCGCUCACCGCAACUAGAGGAAGCCUGCACGCAGCAAUGAAGACCCAACGCAAAAUAAAAACUUAAAAACUAAAACAUUUCUUAAAGAAAGAACUUUAU